GGUUUGUGAACAGGGAGGAGAUGCAUACAUGCCCCUGUCGGUGCUUCCCAUGCUGUUAGGAGAUCUACAAGUUUGGUCAAACAAGGAUGGACCCCCCAAAUUAUGACCCUCCACCACCUACUUUCUGCAAAAGAACAUCGGCGAAUCCACCACAUAAUCCAGAUGGAGUGGAAAACAACAGAGGAGUGGAGCCUGUGUAGCAAAGGUGACUGAUUUUCACUCCUGUUGUGUCUCUGAUGUAAUCAGACAAGUGAGCUGUUAUGUGUUCCCGAUUAUGCAAGUAAAAAAAACCAAAAAAAAAAACCACACACACACGC